AGCGAACGCUGGCGGCAGGCCUAACACAUGCAAGUCGUACGAUCCUUCGGGAUAGUGGCGGACGGGUGAGUAACACGUGGGAACGUGCCCUUUGGUUCGGAACAACUCAGGGAAACUUGAGCUAAUACCGAAUGUGCCCUUCGGGGGAAAGAUUUAUCGCCAUUGGAGCGGCCCGCGUCUGAUUAGCUAGUUGGUGAGGUAAUGGCUCACCAAGGCGACGAUCAGUAGCUGGUCUGAGAGGAUGAUCAGCCACACUGGGACUGAGACACGGCCCAGACUCCUACGGGAGGCAGCAGUGGGGAAUCUUGCGCAAUGGGCGAAAGCCUGACGCAGCCAUGCCGCGUGAAUGAUGAAGGUCUUAGGAUUGUAAAAUUCUUUCACCGGGGACGAUAAUGACGGUACCCGGAGAAGAAGCUCCGGCUAACUUCGUGCCAGCAGCCGCGGUAAAAC
rnacentral:rRNA from 1 species